rnacentral:rRNA from 1 species
UACGAAGGGGGCUAGCGUUGCUCGGAAUCACUGGGCGUAAAGCGCACGUAGGCGGAUUGUUAAGUCAGGGGUGAAAUCCUGGAGCUCAACUCCGAAACUGCAUUCGAUACUGCCGUGCUUGAGGACUGGAGAGGAGACUGGAAUUUACGGUGUAGCGGUGAAAUGCGUAGAUAUCGUAAGGAAGACCAGUGGCGAAGGCGGGUCUCUGGGCCGAUACUGACGCUGAGGAGCGAAAAGCGUGGGGGAGCGAACAGG